rnacentral:rRNA from 1 species
AAAGAAGUUUAAAAAAGGACGGCGUAAAGCUGUCGCUAAAGGAUGGACCUGCGAUGCAUUAGCUAGUUGGUAAGGUAACGGCUUACCAAGGCGAAUGAUGCAUAGCCGAGUUGAGAGACUGAUCGGCCCACAUUGGGACUGAGACACGGCCCAAACUCCUACGGGAGGCAGCAGUAGGGAAUCUUCCACAAUGGACGCAAGUCUGAUGGAGCAACGCCGCGUGAGUGAAGAAGGUUUUCGGAUCGUAAAGCUCUGUUGUUGGUGAAGAAGGAUAGAGGUAGUAACUGGCCUUUAUUUGACGGUAAUCAACCAGAAAGUCACGGGCUAACUACGUGCCAGCAGCCGCGGUAAAAU